UUUUCGUCAUCACCAAUUCGCCAUCUUAUAACGACACGAGCUGCAAGUAACCACGGGGCAUCCUUCGUGGCUCUGCAGCUUCACGUUGCAGUACAGUAGAUUGGUGGUGGAAGAGUAGAGGCUUAAUCUAACUAAACUUGUGUUGAGUAAGUAGAAGCUAUUUUCGCUCAGGCUGGUAGAGAGGGCACAUUGCACUUGUGUUGAGUAAGUAGAAGCUAUUUUCGCACCAUAAAUUCUGAUGACCACGAAUGAAUUCUGAACUCUCGUGGUUCUUCUAUCCCACCGUUAUCUUCACCGAGCAGUGCGUCUCGGUACUCUUCAUAUGAUGGAUAUCAGGGUACAAGCAAAAAGAUUGAAAUAUGAAACGGAAGGGUUGGUGUUAUUAUCGAAAAAGCUGGGGAAACUAUCAGGUACCUCCAACUUCAGUCAGGAGCAAAGAUUCAAGUAACAAGUGACAAUGAAGCUGAACCAGGUGCACAGACAAGACCAGUUGAGCUUUCAGGCACUCAUGAGCAGAUAAGCAAAGCUGAGCAGCUGAUCAAAGAAGUUCUGGCAGAGAAAUAUAAUGCACUACAGCCAGGUGCCGACACGUUCUAGAUGAAAAUUGCUAAUAACAAGAACAUUUUCACAUGGAAAGCUAAAAGUGCAGAUGGUAUUGUCGAGGAUAAAGACAGGU